rfam:Callithrix jacchus chromosome 9, whole genome shotgun sequence
GCUGGGCGUGGUGGCGCAUGCCUGUAGUCCCAGGUACUCGGGAGGCUGAGGUGGGAGGAUUUCCUGAGUCCAGGAGUUCUGGGCUGUAGUGCACUAUGCUGAUCUGAUGUCCGCACUAAGUUCAGCAUCAAUAUGGUGACCUCCCAGGAGUGGGGUACCACCAGGUUGCCUAAGGAGGGGUGAACCGACCCAGGUCGGAAACGGAGCAGGUCAAAACUCCCGUGCUGAUCAGUAGUGGGAUGGCACCUGUGAAUAGCCACUGCACUCCAGCCUGGACAACAUAGCGAGACCCCAUCUCUU